CUAAUAGCACUAUAGGGGGGGAUGUCUUCCUCACUGCCUAUACGCCAAGAAGCGAAAUUAACAACAUCAAUUAUAUAUGCAGGACACACAUUUGGAGGAACCUGUAAAGGAAGGCUACUGUAUUAGCCUAUCACCAGAUGAUCUCCGGCGAAUCUACGAUCCUUGGAAAUAUUGAAUCAUCAUCAAGCUCUUAGGUACUUGAUCUCCUAGAAGACAAGGAGAUGGUGAUCCGGCAUAACUUUAGAGAAGGAAAUGAAGUUGCUCACCUGCUAGCCCAGGAAGGAGCCAAACAACCAAUGCACUAUAGUUUAGUCUGUUAUGUUGUAACCUCUACCUUUGUUGAGUCCAGGAGGCUGGAGGACAAGGAGGGUUUUUCUCCAAAAAAUAAAUCUGUUUGUGAAAGUAACUGUAAGAAACUUGCCAAACUUGGUAACCUAAAUGCCUUAUAUGGCCUUUCAUCCUUUUGUAAUGAUC